UUGAAAGUCCUUUGUAACCUAACUCUUUCCUACCUUUCCAGUUUUCUUACACUUGCAUGUAUUUUGCAGUCUUCUCAAUUUUUCUGGCAUAAGAAAUUCCAAGUCUGGGCAUUUUCACUGAGUAUCCCCCAUGCUUGGAAUGUUCUCUCUCCUUGCCUUCAUUUCCUGGUUUCUCAUUUCACCUUCCUCAAGAAUCUUUUCCCAGCCUUCCUCCAUGUUAGUAUCUUCCCUCUGUUGAUUAUCUUGAAUUUAUUCUGGAUAUAUCUUGUUCGUAUGUUUGUUUGCAUGUUGUCUCCUCUUUUAGAUUGUGAGUUCCUUGAGAACGAGAACUUUCUUUUGCCUUUGUAUAUGUUAGCAUAGUACUAGUCACAUAAUAGACUCUCAAUAAGUGCUUGUCGACUUAAAUCUACAUUUUCCAAGAUUUGUUCUAACCAUUUCAGUGCUUUGAAACCAGUGUUCCAGUUGCUACUUUGAAUGACGUCAAUGGAUCCAUCUGUUUCUUUAAAGAAAAAUCUAUUUUCCGGAUAGAUUAGCAUAGAUCAAAAACUUUCCUUAACUUGUGUACUAGGACAAACUAGGACUUCACUGAAAAUUCUGGGGACUGAAGAUGUUCUCUCUGUGACUGACUAGUUGGAGGCGAGGUGAAAAAGUGUUAAGGCAAGAUAUACUUAUUAAGGAUUUAUUAUGUGCCAGGACACAGGAGGCACAAAUAUGAGCAACAAGAAAGACGGGCCCUGCCCUCACAGAGUUUACAAUCUAAUGGGGAAGACAACACACCAAAAGGAUCUGGAAAGAUGAAAGGAGAAGGAAAGAUGGCUGGUCCCGGUUCCAAUGGAUGAUGUGACAGUCUGGGAAGACAGCAGAGGAGGAGGCCAUGGGAGCUGAGGCAUUCCCCAGGCAGCUGUGUCAUGGUGUCUGGAGCAUCAGCAGCAGAGCUGGAAGAGGAAAUGGGUGAGAAAUAAGGAAGUGAAUGGGAGUUUGAGAUGCCUUAGACCAAGGUGACUGAAAUCAUUUCGUUAUCUGUCAUCUCUCCAGCAACGUCGGUAACUCUUGGAGAGAAGUCCUCCAUGCCGUAAGGCUGAACACAGUAUUCUCUGAUGGGCAGAACUGGGGCUGUAUGCUGCAGACUGGAAAGGACCAGUCAUCUGGUCGGGCUUUUUUUUGUUUUGUUUUCAGCAGACUGUCUGCACUAUGAUGUGGCAGUCAAAAAAGUUGGGAGCCUUGCCAGGUGUUGUGCUAAGAUUACACAAAAGGGGCAAAGGACAGUCGCAGCCUGCAGGGAGCUUGUAGUCUAAUGAGAGAAACAAGCAAACACAGGUGUAUGGGAUAAAAGGGAAAAGAGGAAGAGGGAAGGGGUUAGAAUUAAGAGGGGUCCAGAAAAGUUUCCUGUGGAAGGUGAGAUUUUAGUUGGGACUUAAAGGAGGCCGGUAGGUAGAGGUGAGAAAAGCCAAAGAAAAUGCCCAAGAGACAGUAUCUUGUUUUUGGAGCAGCCAAAAGGCCAGGAUCACAGCAUCCUGGUGGGAAGUGAGGCAUAAGACUGUGGAAAGAUUCAUCUAGUCCCACCAUAGGCUUGAUAAGGUGAUGGCCAUGUUGAUGGAUAGACCUUGGCAAUAACAGACUGGGUAUGAGGGAGGUGGGAGAGGGAAGAGUUGAGAAUGAGAUCUAAGCGGCAAUCCGGGUGAUGGGAAGGGUGGGAGUACCCCUACCAUAACAGGGAGGGUUUGGGGGGAAAGAUAAUGUUGAUUUUAAGACAUGUAUGACAUCCAGUUUGAGAUGUCUGUUAGGCAGUUGGAGACAGAAGCAAAAGAGGUUGGGUUUGUUAUCUACUUUUCAAUGCCAAAGUUUAUUGCCCUAUUUACAGAGAAGCGUGCACCCUAAAUUUUUCACGAUUCAGGAAAUCUGUCUUUUUAAAAGCUCUUUAUCUCUCCCUCAGACUUGGGGAUCAUCAUUGGUAAUCCAUUCCAACUGGAGAGAAAUGAGUCCUUAGUUCUUAAAAGAAGGUGAAUCAAAUUUGGGGGCUAAGAGAAGACCCUCAAGAUCCGGGGGCCCAUUUCGUAAUUGCACACAGGAUAUAAAGAGAGUGGCAGUACAGUAUAGUAGAGAGAGAGAACACCAGAUUUGGAGGCUGGAAGAACUGGUUUCCUGUGUGACCCUGGGCAGUCUACAGAACUGCUCUGGGCCACGGUUUCCUCCUAGGUAAAAUGUUGAACUGAAUGGCCUCUGAAUCGAUGCCCUUGGGAUCUUUUAACUAGAUACCAGUCCAGAACUAAGUCUAGGUUCUAAGCGUCCUCUGCUGACCUCGGUGUCAGUAAAGUGAAGGGACUUGGACUUCUUUUUUCUCUUGAGUUCUAAAUCAGGUCUUUAUGGCCCUGUCCACUUGCAGGUCUGGGAUGCCAUUAGUUUUCUGUGAGCCUCAGUUUCCUCCUCCGUUAAAUGAGGGACCCUUGAGGUCCCUGCCAGCUCUCUUUGAAGCUCACGGAUGGCUUUUAUGCUAAUUUCCUGAUAGACUUUCAGGAAGCUCCAUGAGUUACCCAUGCCCUGUCCCUCUUGACGUCAUGUAUGUAGAUUGUGCCCUUCAAAGCUAUUUUUUUUUUUAAAUCCUGACUCAUUUGAAAGCAGACUGAAUCUGUGCCUCUAACCCUCCCUUUUAAAGAGUUAAAGCUUUAGCUAAUCCAGUCUUAAUUCUCCCCAUAUGGCUGGGCCUGGCAGCAGAGGAAAGAGUUGGCUGACAAUUCAAGCCUGAACAGUGGCUAAGAUAAAUAUGGGGGCCAUCUGUGCAGCUAGGAAAAAAAAAUUCAUGUGAGGAACAGACAGACCCUGCUAAGUUAAACAUAUUUCCGAGACUCUGCUGGGGGAAAAAGGAGGGGCCCAGUGGGUUGGGGUAGGGAGGAGGAGGAGGCUUGCGGAGCCGCCAGAAAAGAGGCAAAGUUGGCUGUCUCACAGGCAAGGGGGUCCGUUCCGAAAAUUCUGGCAAAUUGAAUGAUCAGACCUGGAGAUGGGGAAGGGAGCUAGGGAGACAGUGAUGUACCCAGGCGUUCCCACGGCAACCCGCCCCACCGCUGCCGUGAUGCUCAGAACGCUGCAGUCUGGGUUUGUAUAAAGGGCUGGAAAAUCAGCUCGUGCGGGCUGUGAACAUUUCUCCCAAGCAGGGGCUGAGCUGGCCCAGGCAGGUCUGGGAAGCUACAACCUUGAAGGACUUCCUCCUGGCUCAAGACAGCGGCUGGCUGGCAGAGGAGGGGCUUGGAGCUGGCUCCUGAGACUAGAGAAAAGGGGGUUUCGCAGUCCUGGGUGCCUGGAGUAGGGGCUUGGUCAGCGCUGGUCAGGCAGGGUGGGUUGAACGGCAGAGCCAGCCAGCAGCGCGGAAAGUGAGCUUCACGGCUUCAGAGACUGGACUGCCAGAGCCGUACCUUAAAAUAUACAGCACCCAAGGGGGCCCUCAACCCAGCGGGAGCCGAAAGCUUCAUAUUCUUUUGGCACAAAGACAGACCAGCUGGAGAAAUCAAGAGCAGGACUGAGUCUGAGAGGGGACCUCCAGCAAGCAUCCAGACUGCUCCCUGGCAAAGCCGGGCCAGACCGGCCCCAGGCGCCGGUGGGCAACCGGGUCUGGGAUAUUGGGGAGCAGCGCUGUCCUGAUGCCAUCCGGACCGGAGGGCUUUUAGCAGGCGGGAUCCAUUGGCCAGCCCCCCAGUCUCGGGGCUCUCCUGGCUUUCACUCCCAGCCCCAUCCAGGAGCAUGAGUUCAGUUCUGACAAAAUAUGGAUCUCCACCACGCAGUUGGCUCAAUCUUCGCUUGGGAACCAAUGACCGCGGUCUAACGGAGGAGAAAGGACUUCGGUGCCAGAAUCCAGAUUGUAUUGACAAGAAGAGGGCAUCCAAGGUAACUGAACGCUUGGGGCCCGGGGCGGCUCCAGCCUGGGUCAUGGGGCCAGGGGCCGGGGAGGGCUGGGACUUCGGCUCGAGCCACAGAGUGAAUGCACCGAGGCGGCCCAACCUGGGAGAGAGCCUCCAAGGGCGGUGCAACAAAGUCUCCCUGGGCCCAUCCCAGCCACCCCUGCGGAAGGGCAGCUUUUCUGGACCGGGCAGAGAAGUCUUGGGGUCAGGCGCCAGAAGAACCUCUGGUUUGAGAGGGAGCCCUUAGGAGCCUGACUCCUGAGCCCUGGCUGAUCUUGGCUCCCUGCUCUAAUCCUGUUCAACACUUGGUAACAGUAAUUCCACUGCCAGUCCUGCAAAACUCCCUGCAACGGGAGCUUUAAAACAUCCCCCUUUGACACACUGGGACCUCCACAUAAAAUGUGCCCUUCCCUUAAGGAGCUCAUUCAUUCAUCCCUCCUUUCCAGGUGGGUCAUGGGUAUUACGUGGGAGCGUUACAAUUUUGGCCCUUUUCUAUGACGGACAAGUUAUGGGAGGCCCAGGGAAUCUGGAUCCAGGGAAUUCUGGUCCUGCCUCUGGCUCUGCAAAGACUCUGCCAAAGGGGGCUGGUGGGGCCAGUCCUGACUAAGUGGGGACACCGACCUUUCCGGCUUCCGAAGCUCAGACCAAGGCUUCUUCUGAAUCAUUUAUUGUUCUGAUGGAAGCCCUGAAUUCAGAGCCUGCCAUUGACACCACCUGGGGGAUCUUGGUCAUGGAGGCUUUCUGCGCCUGCGUUCCCUUGGAUGCAAAAUAGAGAUAAUGAUAUUUGUACUACUGCUGGCCCUGGUGAAGCCCUCAGAGAAUAUAUCAGUCAAUUCAAAUCUAUUCAAAACGUUUGUUAAGCCGGGCACUGGGCUAAGUGCUAGGGAUACAAAAAGGCAGAAGUGGUUCCUGCCCUCAGGGAGCUUACUAUCUAAUGGAGGAGAUAAUAUGUACCAAGAUAAAUAGGAAAUAAUUAAGAGAAGGAACGCACUUGAAUUAGGAAGGAUGGGGGAGGGCUUUCUGUCCGAGGUGGGGUCGUGGUUGGCUCUUAAAGAGAGCCGGGAAGGGGAAGAGUCUUUCUGGCCUGGGGAGGAGGGCUUAGGUUUUGAAGGGCUCUGUAUCCCAGAAUAUUUAGUACUUGCUCCUAGAGGAAAUCAGGAGCCAUUGAAGGUUAUUGAGUAGGUGGAGGGACAUAGCAUGAUGGAUGUAUAUUUUUAUAUGUGUGUGUAUUUA